rnacentral:rRNA from 1 species
GUGAGGAAUAUUGGUCAAUGGGCGCAAGCCUGAACCAGCCAUCCCGCGUGCAGGAAGACGGCGCUAUGCGUUGUAAACUGCUUUUCCAGGGAGAGAAACUUGCGCACGUGUUGCGCAAUUGACGGUACCCUGGGAAUAAGCAUCGGCUAACUCCGUGCCAGCAGCCGCGGUAAUACGGAGGAUGCGAGCGUUAUCCGGAUUCAUUGGGUUUAAAGGGUGCGUAGGCGGACUAUUAAGUCAGUGGUGAAAUCCUGCAGCUUAACUGCAGAACUGCCAUUGAUACUGAUAGCCUUGAGUUUGGUUAAGGUAGGCGGAAUGUGUAAUGUAGCGGUGAAAUGCUUAGAUAUUACACAGAACACCAAUUGCGUAGGCAGCUUACUGAGCCGACACUGACGCUGAGGCACGAAAGCGUGGGGAUCGAACAGGAUUAGAAACCCUUGUAGUCC